UUGCUUUGCUGCCCACCACUCUAUCUGGUCUACCUCUUCAUUCUUCCAAAGCGGUGUGACCAAAAACCGAGGGCAAUUAAGUGAAGUCCUGUAACAACCUUGUUUUAGUAAGAAAUAUGCCACGAGCGGGCAGCCCCGGUGGUGCAGCGGUUUAGCGCCGCCUGCAGCCCAGGGCGUGAUCCUGGAUCCCUGGAUCGAGUCCCAUGUCAGGCUCUCUGCAUAGUGCCUGCUUCUCUCUGCCUGUGUCUCUAUGAAUAAAUAAAGUCUUCAAAUAUGUGUGUGUGUAUAUAUAUAUACCAUUAAAGGAAAUAUGUCAGGAGUUUAGCUAAACUAGCUAGCCUAUUGCUGCCUUGGCUUUUAUUUUGUUUAGCCAAGCAGCCACCAGGGGGCUUAACUCACGUUAGCGCCCCCCCCCACCCCACCCCAACAAGCAACCGUUGUCCUAGGCAACGGCCUGCAGAGUCACAAGCAAAUGUAAAUUUCUGACAGGACUUCCUCAACAGCCCUUGUGACCAACUGUCUGUCCUCUCCCAGAACCUUCCUCUUGUACGCCUAGAGAUAAGAAUCCUCGUGGAGUUUCCCCAGACCACACUGUUUUGGGUCUGAAUUGACCAAUUUGGCCUUCACUCAGGAACCCCAAAGCCCACCCCACCCAAGGAGAGUGAUACAGUCAUGUGUCCCAGGUCCUGUCACUCUCUGCCUGCACUUGCCUUGACCUUCCCAAGUGGCACCUUGACACAUACUGUGUACUUCCUCCAGGUCUUAUUAGGAAAAGAAACUAAGAAAGCAAAGGUGUGAUGCAAGAAAUCAGGGUGGAGGGGAAGACUCCCACGAGUACCAUAAAGACAUUGUGGGGCAGCUCCUGUGGCUCCGCGGUUUAGCGCCACCUUCGGCCCAGGCCGUGAUCCCGGAGACCCGGGUGGAGUCCCAUGUCGGGUCCCUGCGUGGAGCCUGCUUCUCCCUCUGCCUCUGUCUCUGCCUCUCUCUGUCUCUCUAGGUCUCUCAUGAAUAAAUAAAUAAAAUCUUAAAAAAAAAAAAAUACU
rnacentral:lncRNA from 12 species